rnacentral:lncRNA from 1 species
CUCCCUACCCCCACCCCUCCCCUCCCCCAUCACAGAAGGUGGCCAGGGUACCCGUCCACACUCCCUGCCCCUGCCCCAUUCUCUCCCAUCACAGAAGGUAGCCAGGGACCUGUCCACACUCCCUGCCCCUGCCCCAUUCUCUCCCAUCACAGAAGGUAGCCGGGACCUGUCUACACUCCCUAUUCCUCCAAGAACAAGUUGUGGUGUGGAUGCCUCUCUAUGUGGCUUAGCUCACGCUUCACUGAGCUCUGCUCCUGUGCCCCCCAUGUUUGGAGGGGACCCUGCUGAUCUUUCGGGUGCUGUUGGGUCACCGCCUCCUCCCCGCGCUCCUUGGUUAACAGCCCACAGACCACUGGAAUCUGUCUUGGAAGUGCACAUCCCUGCUUCAUCACGGCGUGAGCUGGAACGUGUAGACGGCUUCCUGGAUUCUGCGACACCGCACGCUGCACAUUUUGAAGCCAAUUUUAGGGGUACACAAGGAGCACGUUCCCCUGGAGCGAAGCAUCGGGCUGUCCUCGGCCGUGGGAGAUCCUCCGCUCCGUCUCUCAGUGCCGACUCACUCCCGGCCUCGCUGCUCUUCCCAGCCCGGCUCCUGUCCCUCUGCUCUUGGUCCUCCCAACAACCUCGCCAUCAGUCAGCUUCCUGCCAAGUUCCCGUCUCUGCUUGCACGUGCCCGGAACCACUCUCCACUUUACUGAUUCUCUCUUUCCUUGUGUCUAAUUUGCUCUUCAAAUCACGAUUGUUUUUAUUCCUAGAAGCCGCUUGUUUUGAAGUCUCCCUUGUGUCUUGUUGUGGCUUUCUCUUCUGUUUUUUAUUUUCACGUUGCAUUUUAUCCCCAUUCUAUAACCGAUAUUUGAUAACUUCGCUACCUGAAGCUCUUGGGGACUUAACCCUGCCAUGUGCGGUAUUGGUAAACUUCCUCCUGGGUCGGCGCCCUGGGGCUUUGUGCUCAUCUUCUCUGGGAAUUCUCCGUUUCUGUGCACAGAGAUUCCGUGUUUCUCCUGCAGGUCCUCCAGGAGUGUUGUCAGCCGUGGUGAACUGUACCCCACAGUACAGGCUGGGGCUCCACAGCACUCAGAGAACAAAGGCAAACCCCAAACGCACGCGAGGACGGCACGGAACACCUGAAGGCGGCCGUUUGCUUCCACCCAGGACGGGGCCGAGGGCCAGGAUCCUGCCACUUCCCUGGCCCCAGCCUCCAGGAGCGCACAGCCUCACUUCCGUCUGGGCUCAUUGGACUCAGUGCCUCUCUGGUUGA